rnacentral:tRNA from 1 species
CCGGCUAUAGCUCAGUUGGUAGAGCCUCUGGCUGCAGAGCUUUGCAGCUGUCAGAUGGUCCCUGGUUCGAUUCCGGGUGGCGUGA